ACGAAGGUCCAAAAAGGAGAAAGCCCGGGGUGGCAUUGGGCGACAGCGGGGCAACUGUAAGGUAAACAUUACUGAUAAGCUGUGCGCGAGUUUGACUGCGAAAUUCUCGAACGAACAUUGCAUCGCGCGAUUAUAGUUUUUGCAUCGUUUUUUUCUCAUCGUGCAAUGUACGUGAAUCAUGCGUCGCGUCGGGAGUGUCGUGUAAAGUUUUGCGCGUUGGGAGUGCCGUGUAAAGUAGUCGGGCGACCGUAAUUAUUCGUGUUUUCGCGAGUGUUGUGAGUGCUACGAAGAACCACGAGAGGAGGAGGAGGCCUGGGGGCAUCGGGCAACAGCGGGGCAACUGUAAGAUCAACAUGCAGUGUACAACUCCGCUAUUGCACGCAUCGG